CCCUUAGAUGUUCGGGGCCGCACGCGCGCUACACUGAAGGAAUCAGCACGUCUUUCUCCUUGUCCGAAAGGACUGGGUAACCCGCUGAACCUCCUUCGUGCUAGGGAUUGGGGCUUGUAAUUCUUCCCCAUGAACGAGGAAUUCCCAGUAAGCGCGAGUCAUAAGCUCGCGUUGAUUACGUCCCUGCCCUUUGUACACACUGCCCGUCGCUACUACCGAUUGGAUGGUUUAGUGAGAUCCUCGGAUUGGUCCCGGCGCGGCCUCUGGUCGUGCCGGAGUGCCGAAAAGAAUGUCGAACUUGAUCAUCUAGAGGAAGUAAAAGUCGUAACA
rnacentral:rRNA from 1 species